CCUACGGGGGGCAGCAGUGGGGAAUAUUGCGCAAUGGGCGAAAGCCUGACGCAGCAACGCCGCGUGCGGGAUGACGGCCUUCGGGUUGUAAACCGCUUUCAGCUACGACGAAGUGAAAGUGACGGUAGUAGCAGAAGAAGCGCCGGCUAACUACGUGCCAGCAGCCGCGGUGAUACGUAGGGCGCAAGCGUUGUCCGGAAUUAUUGGGCGUAAAGAGCUCGUAGGCGGUCUGUUGCGUCGGGAGUGAAAACUCAGGGCUUAACCCUGAGCCUGCUCUCGAUACGGGCAGACUUGAGGAACGUAGGGGAGAACGGAAUUCCUGGUGGAGCGGUGGAAUGCGCAGAUAUCAGGAGGAACACCGGUGGCGAAGGCGGUUCUCUGGACGUUUCCUGACGCUGAGGAGCGAAAGCGUGGGGAGCAAACAGGCUUAGAUACCCUUGUAGUC
rnacentral:rRNA from 1 species